GACGAACGCUGGCGGCGUGCCUAAUACAUGCAAGUCGAGCGGACUUUCAAGAAGCUUGCUUUUUGAAAGUUAGCGGCGGACGGGUGCGUAACACGUGGGCAACCUGCCUGUAAGACGGGGAUAACUCCGGGAAACCGGGGCUAAUACCGGAUAAUAUCUUUCUUCGCAUGAAGGAAGGUUGAAAGGCGGCGCAAGCUGCCGCUUGCAGAUGGGCCCGCGGCGCAUUAGCUAGUUGGUGAGGUAACGGCUCACCAAGGCGACGAUGCGUAGCCGACCUGAGAGGGCGAUCGGCCACACUGGGACUGAGACACGGCCCAGACUCCUACGGGAGGCAGCAGUAGGGAAUCUUCCGCAAUGGACGAAAGUCUGACGGAGCAACGCCGCGUGAGCGAAGAAGGUCUUCGGAUCGUAAAGCUCUGUUGUCAGGGAAGAACAAGUACCGUUCGAAUAGGGCGGUACCUUGACGGUACCUGACCAGAAAGCCACGGCUAACUACGUGCCAGCCGCCGCGGUAA
rnacentral:rRNA from 1 species